UACGUAGGGUGCGAGCGUUAAUCGGAAUUACUGGGCGUAAAGCGUGCGCAGGCGGUUCGUCAAGUCUGAUGUGAAAGCCCCGGGCUCAACCUGGGAAUGGCAUUGGAAACUAGCGGGCUUGAGUGUGGCAGAGGGGGGUGGAAUUCCACGUGUAGCAGUGAAAUGCGUAGAGAUGUGGAGGAACACCGAUGGCGAAGGCGGCUCUCUGGACGGUGACUGACGCUGAGACGCGAAAGCGUGGGGAGCAAACAGG
rnacentral:rRNA from 1 species